rnacentral:rRNA from 1 species
UACGGAAGGCAGCAGUAGGGAAUAUUGGGCAAUGGCCGAGAGGCUGACCCAGCCAUGCCGCGUGCAGGAUGAAGGCUUUCUGAGUCGUAAACUGCUUUUGCCAGGGAAGAAAAGGGGAUGCGUCCUCUACUGACGGUACCUGGUGAAUAAGCACCGGCUAACUCCGUGCCAGCAGCCGCGGUAAUACGGAGGGUGCAAGCGUUGUCCGGAUUUAUUGGGUUUAAAGGGUGCGUAGGCGGCCGUUUAAGUCUGGGGUGAAAGCCCGUUGCUCAACAACGGAACUGCCCUGGAAACUGGAUGGCUUGAGUACAGACGAGGGUGGCGGAAUGGAUGCUGUAGCGGUGAAAUGCAUAGAUAGCAUCCAGAACCCCGAUUGCGAAGGCAGCUGCCUAGACUGUAACUGACGCUGAGGCACGAAAGCGUGGGGAGCGAACAGGAUUAGAUAACC